CAGCGGAGGGAUCAUUACUGAGUUACCGCUCUACAACCCUUUGUGAACAUACCUAACCGUUGCUUCGGCGGGCAGGGGAAGCCUCUCGCGGGCCUCCCCUCCCGGCGCCGGCCCCACCACGGGGACGGGGCGCCCGCCGGAGGAAACCAAACUCUAUUUACACGACGUCUCUUCUGAGUGGCACAAGCAAAUAAUUAAAACUUUUAACAACGGAUCUCUUGGUUCUGGCAUCGAUGAAGAACGCAGCGAAAUGCGAUAAGUAAUGUGAAUUGCAGAAUUCAGUGAAUCAUCGAAUCUUUGAACGCACAUUGCGCUCGCCAGCAUUCUGGCGAGCAUGCCUGUUCGAGCGUCAUUUCAACCCUCAAGCACCGCUUGGUUUUGGGGCCCCACGGCAGACGUGGGCCCUUAAAGGUAGUGGCGGACCCUCCCGGAGCCUCCUUUGCGUAGUAACUAACGUCUCGCACUGGGAUCCGGAGGGACUCUUGCCGUAAAACCCCCAAAUUCUUUACAGGUUGACCUCGGAUCAGGUAGGAAUAC
rnacentral:rRNA from 1 species